CCUACGGGAGGCAGCAGUGAGGAAUAUUGGUCAAUGGGCGCGAGCCUGAACCAGCCAAGUCGCGUGAGGGAAGACGGUCCUAUGGAUUGUAAACCUCUUUUGUCGGGGAGCAAAAGACGCCACGUGUGGCGUUCCGAGAGUACCCGAAGAAAAAGCAGCGGCUAACUCCGUGCCAGCAGCCGCGGUAAUACGGAGGAUGCGAGCGUUAUCCGGAUUGAGUGGGUUUAAAGGGUGCGCAGGCGGAAGAUCAAGUCAGCGGUAAAAUUGAGCGGCUCACCCUCUUCGAGCCGUUGAAACUGGUUUUCUUGAGUGUGCGAGAGGUAUGCGGAAUGCGUGGUGUAGCGGUGAAAUGCAUAGAUAUCACGCAGAACUCCGAUUGCGAAGGCAGCAUACCGGCGCUCAACUGACGCUCAUGCACGAAAGUGUGGGUAUCGAACAGGAUUAGAUACCCCGGUAGUC
rnacentral:rRNA from 1 species